AGUACCGUGAGGGAAAGGUGAAAAGAACCCCGGGAGGGGAGUGAAAUAGAACCUGAAACCGUGUGCCUACAACCGCUCAGAGCCCCUUAUGAGGGUGAUGAGGUGCUUUUUGUAGAACGAGCCAACGAGUUACGGUAUGUAGCAAGGUUAAGUACUUAAGGUACGGAGCCGAAGGGAAACCGAGUCUGAAUAGGGCGACUAGUUGCAUGCCGUAGACCCGAAACCGGGUGACCUAUCCAUGGCCAGGUUGAAGCGAGGGUAAAACCUCGUGGAGGACCGAACCACGUUGCUGUUGAAAAAGCAUGGGAUGAGCUGUGGAUAGCGGAGAAAUUCCAAUCGAACCCGGAGAUAGCUGGUUCUCUCCGAAAUAGCUUUAGGGCUAGCGUCGAGUAUGAGUAGUGGAGGUAGAGCACUGAAUGGGCUAGGGGGCAUAGCGCUUACCGAACCUUAUCAAACUCCGAAUGCCACAUACUUUGAGCUCGGCAGUCAGACUACGAAUGAUAAGAUCCGUGGUCAAAAGGGAAACAGCCCAGAUCGUCAGCUAAGGUCCCAAAGUGUAAGUUAAGUGGGAAAGGAUGUGAGAUUUCUAAGACAACUAGGAUGUUGGCUUAGAAGCAGCCAUUCAUUAAAAGAGUGCGUAAUAGCUCACUAGUCGAGAGAUCUUGCGCCGAAAAUGUAACGGGGCUAAACUUACCACCGAAGCUACGGGCUUGAACU
rnacentral:rRNA from 1 species